CCCAUGUCAAUUGCUGAAAUAUUGCUGGCCGGUAUGUUUACUUAUUACCAUAAACCUUUAUGCAUCACUUUCAAGCCCUCAGACCAUUUUAUUUCUCUGGCAUAAUUUCCUUAACGAAUGUCGGCCAGUAUGCUUUUCUAGAGGUUCAGUUGCUAUUUGCUGAUCGCUGCAUAUUUGCAUAAAAGCUCUGAAAAAGUUCGGUCAGAAUCCCCUAGAUGGUUCGAACGCCAGACCCUGGUACGUUCACCUUGACAAAACCUCAUCUUAUUCCUAUUUUUUGCAGGUUGCAGCAAGAACAAGAUGCCAAAGUAAAAGUCUCCAAAAAAGCCUAAUCUUUGCAUCUUUCGGUACUCACUCAAGUGAAGUCUCGAUUUCUUCUAAAUCUGAAGUUCAAGUUCUCUGAAACAUUUGGCAAUAGUUCGGCGAAAAGGUUUACCUCAGUACAAAAGUAAGGGUACCUUCUGUGUCUUCUUCUGAACCUACGUUUUCUGAACCAAAUGUAUCUGCAUUUUAGCUCCGUAUGUGAAAUAUCCUUAGGAAUAUACAACAAUAGUAUAGUUCAAUGUCCUUUGAGGAAUCUAAAAAUCUUUCAACAAUGUUACCCAAAUAAAUAACGACAAUGACUAAACUGGAGGAUUUACAGUAGUUACGAGCAGUUGAUGCAGGGCGGCUCGAGAUCCUUACUCCAUCUCGUGGUGUGCAGUUUUGUAAUUGUGUGCUUCAAGAGUUAAUUUAAUAACAAUUGUAUUCAAAAACUUUGUUUCUUUACCCAACCAAAUUCUGAACAUGUUUCUACUUUCUGCAGGUCCUUGUUGGGAUGAGAGGGAUGACUAGAAUGCUCUGGGAAAUAUCUUUACUUGACCCAGAGGCGGUAUGCUUUUAUUGAUCUCCUUUGUAGUGCUAUGGGUGCUGUAAUAAGAGCAAAUUACAUAUUAACUUGUAUAUCUAGGAAUACUGUGUGGACUAGAAAAUGUAUUAUUUUAGUAUCUUGAGAUCUUCAGUCAAGUUUGUGUGCCCAAGCUGAGCUUAAUUUGUCCAUGUACAGUAAUAAUUAGUGUGUUAGUUGUGCAUUGCAGAGUUUUGAUAGAAUUGGUACUUAGUUUGGUUUGCGAUAUUUAAACUUAUCCAUCACUGUAUAUCUAUGUUGAUGCUUGUAAUUUAACUUUGUGUUCCUGGGAUUCGUUUUAGAGGUCUCUAUUCCAGAGUGCGAGAGGGAUUGGUGUUAAAUGUCAAACUUAUGUUUGCGUGUGCAGUUGUACUUGGUAAGAUGUAUACUGCACAUCAGUGUAGUAAGAGAAAUAAAAAAAAUUGCAGCUAAUUAUUUAGAUGUUAGAUUGUCUAGUGGUUUUUUUCCACAGAUAUUGCAAAAAAAGAUCUCACUUUCUUUUGCACUUAGUUCAUGUGAUCAAUUGUGAUAAGUUCGGAGAAGUUUAUAAUACCUCCAAAGGACUGAGAAUUUUGUUCUUGCGUCAAGUGUCACUACAUCUGUUUUCAUAGAUUAUGUUCAGCACAGUGCGUUCCUUCUGUGUUUGGCACAAGUCGAUGCUCACCCUGUAUUGUCCUAUUUCUUCCUGCUCACAGCAUGUAUUGCAUCUUAUUUGCCAGUGACAACAAUUUUUACACAUGUAACAACCCCACAUUUUUUAUAUGACACAACACUUUGGGUUGGCUAAAUUUAGGUGAAU
rnacentral:lncRNA from 1 species